CGCGAUGCAAUCAUGAAUCUUUAUUGAAACACAAUUAACCUUACUGAAAGACGUCAUUUAUACCUGAACAAUAAGCUAGAAAACAUCAACAUAGAGGUGGCUCGUAUUGUAAGGGAGGUCACAUACUGUAUUCGAAAUCAAAUUUUAUUGUGAUACUGGCUUGGUAUCCCUAAAUGAAAGAUGAUCAAGACAUAGCUAUAUCAAAUUUCUGGAAUUGAUUCAUGAUCAAAUUCUGAUUAUCUGUGGAUUCUGGCACACCCCUAUUUGCAUGGUACUAAACAGGACCAUAAAUAAACUAAUUCUGGAUGCAAAAAUAGAAAACAAUCUGAUUAUGUAUGCCCAUCGAUUUGAUGAGGAAUUACUAUUCUAACGAUUCAUCCUUGUCAUUCAAUGAUUAAUUUAACCCCCAAGGGUGACUGCGGAAUCGAAAUAUUGUCUUCUUCCGACCGACAGUAAAACGCUUGCUUAAGUGGGCCGUCCGUUUAGCUGUGCGGGAUGUAUCAAGUUUGCAGCCAUGUCCGGUCAGAAUGGGGACGUAAAAUCCAAUGCCUCAUGUAAAGAGAGUGCCACGCUUUUUGCACGUUAAGAACCCUUGCAACAACUCUUUGAGGGGUCCGUAGAUGGCCUAUUGCAAGGCAAAAUAUCUGUCCAUAUCAAAUAUACUCUCAUUUUCCAGUGGCAGUCCAAAUUUCCCCGACCAUCAUCCCGGAUGGCCUCUAUUACAAGACAUACCAAUCAAUCAAUCAAUCAAUCAAUCAAUCAAUCAAUCAAUCAAUCAAUCAAUCAAUCAAUAACCAAUUUACAUUGGCUAAAUGCCCGUUAGAUCUCUUCAAAUAUUUACAC
rnacentral:lncRNA from 1 species